rnacentral:rRNA from 1 species
AUUGAACGCUGGCGGCAGGCCUAACACAUGCAAGUCGAACGAGUGGCGUACGGGUGAGUAAUGUAUGUGAAUCUUCCCGGUGGAUGGGGAUAACUACUGGAAACGGUUGCUAAUACCGCAUACCAUCGGAUGUGCCCAAAUGGGAUUAGCUAGUAGGUGGGGUAACGGCUCACCUAGGCGACGAUCCCUAGCUGGUCUGAGAGGAUGACCAGCCACACUGGAACUGAGACACGGUCCAGACUCCUACGGGAGGCAGCAGUGGGGAAUAUUGCACAAUGGGCGCAAGCCUGAUGCAGCCAUGCCGCGUGUAUGAAGAAGGCCUUCGGGUUGUAAAGUACUUUCAGCGGGGAGGCGUUACCCGCAGAAGAAGCACCGGCUAACUCCGUGCCAGCAGCCGCGGUAAUAC